UCCAAACUGGAACAGUCUUAUGAAAGGACCAUUUAUAAAGCCAAAAAUUUAACUUUGUUUUGAAAGUUUAUUGGAUCAUCUCGACACAAAAUCAUUACAGCAGCUUGUGGUAUGUUGUUUUCUUUUUCUUUUCUUUUUUUUUUUUUCCAGGGAAUGUUGAUAGCAAAUAAAUUUGUGAAUGUAACACAUCAUACAGUUUCAAAAUUCUAGAAUCACUGCACAGGAUUCUGUAAGAGACUCUACAUGCUAAAGUGACAGUUUUCAUCCAUGAAUUAAAAAACCCAAACACUAAUUGAGGAACAUUAUCCUUUAAGACAAUUUUAAUAUGUUCAGUUUCUAAUACACAACUGGCUAACCAAGGGAGGCUGACCAAAACCAAACCCUCCACGUCGUGGCAGCGCGGUCGGACACGGAGCUGGGCCUGGCAAAAGGAACCCAGAGCACCAGAGCAGAGCCUUUGCCAAAAUACCUCCUGUGGGAAGAGUGUAAAGAGCACGAGACACGCAUAAAGUACAGGACAUCACCCAACAAAGAAGAUCAACACUUGAUCCUGCUCCCUGCACCUGGGACAGGGGCUCCCCAUCCAUCCUUCUCUCCCUGGCAGGGAGGGCUCUGCCUCAGGGACCCAGGGGCCUUUGUGCUGCCAAAUCUGCUCUCAGUGCUGCAAGGGCAGGGCUGGGGGACACUGAGGGGACACACACAGAAUGACCCUGCUGGUUUCAGAGCCCAGGGGGAGGACAUGGACCUGCACACAAGGGGCUGCACCAAUGAUUGCUUCUCUAAUCUGGUAAUGGUCAACCUCAGCUGGUGAGCAAAAGGAUAAAAAAGCAGGAACAGACCCCUUUGGAUUUCCAGUUUCUUGCUACAGCUUAACUGUUCAGGAAUGUGAAAUUGAAGUGGACUCAUAAAACACAUCAGCAGAGACAGCUCAGAGGGGAGAGGCCUGACAGACUCCGUGUGUGGGGCAGUCGAGGGGAGCACAGACCCAAACAAUAACACUGCCAGCUCAUUUCAUGCUUCCACACUCGACUCUUCCAGCUGUCACUAAAAGAAGGUUAAGGCUCAAGGCAACUACUAUAAACAGAAACUCAAACAUCCCAGUUCCCACAGGGCUCCUUUGGAUUAGCUCAAGGAGAUGGAGGAUAUUUAUAUGCUGAUCACAAUAGAUCUUGAGAUAAUAAUAAAUCAUAUAUAUAUAUAAAAAAAAAAAACA
rnacentral:lncRNA from 1 species